rnacentral:misc_RNA from 1 species
AAGUCGUAACAAGGUUUCCGUAGGUGAACCUGCGGAAGGAUCAUUACCAAUCCAAAAAAAAACUUUAUAUCAACCCUUAUGUGCACUGAGAAUGGUUCCGUUCCCUGCCUGACCUUUUCCUACGGGGUUUGGUUGGUGGGGAAUGUAUUUUUUUUCACAACACCUUUUCAACCCAUAUACCCCACAUUUUAUUCAUGCUGAAAGCAAAACAAAAAAAAACGAAACAUUAGACAACUUUUAACGGUGGAUCUCUUGGCUCGU